UACGUAGGUGGCAAGCGUUGUCCGGAAUUAUUGGGCGUAAAGCGCGCGCAGGUGGUUUCUUAAGUCUGAUGUGAAAGCCCACGGCUCAACCGUGGAGGGUCAUUGGAAACUGGGGAACUUGAGUGCAGAAGAGGAAAGUGGAAUUCCAGGUGUAGCGGUGAAAUGCGUAGAUAUCUGGAGGAACACCGGUGGCGAAGGCGGCAUCCUGGACCAACACUGACGCUGAGGAGCGAAAGCCAGGGGAGCAAACGGG
rnacentral:rRNA from 1 species